rnacentral:rRNA from 1 species
AGAGUUGAUCCUGGCUUAGAACGAACGCUGGCGGCAGGUCUUAGGCAUGCAAGUCGAACGGGUGUAGCAAUACAUCAGUGGCGCACGAGUGAGUAACGCGUGGGAAGCUACCCAUCACCGGGGAAUAACGUUUGGAAACGAACGCUAAUACCGCAUACGCCCGAAAGGGGAAAGAUUUAUCGGUGAUGGAUGUGCCCGCGUUGGAUUAGCUUGUUGGUGGGGUAACGGCCUACCAAGGCGAUGAUCCCAUAGCUGGUCUGAGAGGACGAUCAGCCACGCUGGGACUGAGACACGGCCCAGACUCCUACGGGAGGCAGCAGCUAAGAAUAUUGGACAAUGGGGGAAACCCUGAUCCCAGCCAUGCCGCGUGAAUGAAGAAGGCCUUCGGGUUGUAAAGUUCUUUUAGUAGUGAAGAUGAUGACAGUAGCUACAGAAAAAGCACCGGCUAACUUCGUGCCAGCCGCAGC